rnacentral:rRNA from 1 species
UACGGAGGGGGCAAGCGUUGUCCGGAAUCACUGGGCGUAAAGCGUGCGUAGGUGGCGUGUUAAGUGUGAUGUUAAAUCGCGGGGCUCAACCCUGUCGAUGUGUCGCAUACUGGCAUGCUAGAGGGAAGCAGAGGCAAGUGGAAUUUGUAGUGUAGCAGUGAAAUGCGUAGAUAUUACAAGGAACACCAAUGGCGAAGGCAGCUUGCUGGGCUUCUUCUGACACUGAGGUACGAAAGCGUGGGGAGCGAACAGG